rnacentral:lncRNA from 1 species
UCAAGAGCAAUACAUAAGUAAGAGAGACACCACAUAUUUAUCCAAAACUGUAAGGUGAUAGGUGUAUGGACCCUCUCACUUAUAAAGUUCUCAACCUCCACUUUUCUAAGAAAUAUGACACUUCCAACUCACACUUGUACACAACAAUCUCCCCAAGUGUGACUUCAUCCAUUAUGCUCUUCCUCAAGCGGAAACUAUUUCAUCCACAUACACUUGUACCGUCGUUGGGAGCACUACAAC